GAUCCUGGCUCAGGAUGAACGCUGGCGGCGUGCUUAACACAUGCAAGUCGAGCGAAGCAAUUUAAGUGAAGUUUUCGGAUGGAUCUUAAAUUGACUGAGCGGCGGACGGGUGAGUAACGCGUGGAUAACCUGCCUCACACAGGGGGAUAACAGUUAGAAAUGCUGCUAAUACCGCAUAAGCGCACGGUACCGCAUGGUACAGUGUGAAAAACUCCGGUGGUGUGAGAUGGAUCCGCG
rnacentral:rRNA from 1 species